rnacentral:rRNA from 1 species
UACGUAGGGGGCAAGCGUUGUCCGGAUUUAUUGGGCGUAAAGAGCGUGUAGGCGGCCAGGUAGGUCAGCUGUGAAAACUCGAGGCUCAACCUCGAGACGCCGGUUGAAACCAUCUGGCUAGAGUCCGGAAGAGGAGAGUGGAAUUCCUGGUGUAGCGGUGAAAUGCGCAGAUAUCAGGAAGAACACCCGUGGCUGAGGCGGCUCUCUAGUACGGUACUGACGCUGAGACGCGAAAGCGUGGGGAGCGAACAGG